rnacentral:lncRNA from 1 species
UUCAUUUAAAAAAUCAUUUUUCCUCCCAUCCACCCACCCCAAAAAAACACGUCAAAACCAAGCCAACCCCCCGACCCCACCCCCCCACAANNNNNNNNNNNNNNNNNNNUUUCCCUCUCACUCCAAAUAACUUACGGCCGCCAUCCACCACCAAGCUUUCCAGAUCCAAACAAUAUUAGUUUUUUUUUUUAAAUAAAAUAUUAUUUUUUGCGAAUUUCGCCCCACAUAUCUUUAAUUUGUGCUUAAUGAGUUUUAUAAUGAAAUUUAAUUUUAUUUUUGGCUUCUAAUUUUGUGAUUAGUGCUGGUGUUUGCGAGUGAAAUGGGAGUUUGUUAGCAAAGUGUAACAACUUGAAGUUCAAUUGAUAUUAAUUUCCUGAUCUGCAUCUUUAUUUCAGGUAAUCUUUUCUUCUCCUAUAAAUGUUAUUUUUCAAAGACUUAUUUCUUGCUUAUUUUGUUGUUUUGUUAAAUUCUUUGAGUUUGUGCAACUAGCUAGUGAAGCAGCUCUUUUUUUUUUGUUGAUGAAUAAUAGGAAUAUUAGUUGAAUGACAUUUUCCUGAUAAAUUGACUGUUUCUGCUAAUGGAUUUGUGUAAUUUAAUGAAGUAAAGUGUUUUUGGUGUGAAUUUUCUUAGGUUUAAGUUGUCAUGGUUUGAAUUUUCUUAGGUUUAAGUUGUCUUGGUGUAAAUUUAAUUGGGGUUUAGUUCAAUUUGAGAAUUGUUAAUUGACUGUUAUUAAAAUUUGGCUCUUGAAUAGGUGGAUACUGAUUGAAAAUUCUAUAAACAGGUGCAUUAGCAAGUUUGGCUACACUUAGUUGUUUUGGUUGAUAGUCUAUCUGUGCUUCUACUUCAUUAGUUUAAAUUGUGAUGUGCGUGGAGAACAUGACAAUUACUAAUUUAGUGAAUUAGAUGAAAUUUUGACACUGAAGCAUAACUGGAAAAGUCUAGUUUAAAUUACCUUCAUGAUCUGCAAAACAUUGAAGCAUGAUUUUACAUGAAUGAGAUGAAAAUAAAAAGAUUAUACAUUUGUUUAAGAACAAGUGAAUGUCAUUUAUCGAGAAUGGUGUUUUGAAGAUAGAUGAGCUAGGUCUGAAAAGAUAUACUAACUGUAAUUUUCACACUAAAGGGCUAUUGUUUUAUCAAGAUACAGUGGAUGUUGUCGACUUGCUAAGUGUUUGAAUAGAUGUAGAUGUAAUCCAAGAAAAUCUACCGAUUCAAAAACUGCUAUCAAGUCGAUAUAUCUCCAUAAUAUACGAAUUUGUAUCAUUCAAGUAAAUAAUUUACAUUUAAUUGGUGAAGUGUUGCAUCAUUCAAUCUAGUAAGUCGUUUUCCACUGGCACAUCAUUCCUCUAGAGUAUUAGGGGAUACCAUUAAAGUUUGUUUAGUUUUUUUUUUUUGUGUCAUGUAUCACACAUCAGUGAUUACUAUCCUCAUUAGUGUCACCUUAGGUUUGAAUAUCCACUUUGAUAUUCGGAUACAUAAAUUUGACAUGGAUGUCUUCCCAACCUUCUUGAGGAUAUUAAAAUAUUUCAAGUCUUACAAUCUACAAAAACUGAAACAUAUUAGAAGCACUAGCUCUAAAGGCAUUAGUACGAGUGCAAGAAUAUUGUAGUUUUUUUAAAACUGUGCCCGGAUCUAUGUGAUUCAUGGUAUCUGGAGCCAAGUGUGACUUUUCGUUAGAUCUUUCUUUGAGAAGGAAAGACUGGAUCUUUCUUUGGUGAUUUUUAUUGAAUUAUGACUGCUUAGUGAUACCUUAUCCUCAGACAACCGAUAAUUUUGGGGUAUUUAACAUGAGAUGCUAUAAUGAACCGGUGCAUUUUUAUAGAUAUUAUAUAUAUAUCUUUUCAAUAACCAAAAACUCUUACCCGUUGCAUGCUAUAAGGGAAGCAGAUGCAUGCUAGUUAAACACACUUUUCUUUCCCGUUGGUCACCAAUCUAGCAUAUCCGAACAUCCAUCUUAGCAUUAAUUUUUAUUAUUAACAGUGGUGUCCAGGUCAUCUUGCUCCAUCUUAGCAUCAACAUCUUUUUUACAAUCUCAUCUUUUGGAUAUGUUAUGCAUUAGUGACACAAUAUUCACUUACUUAGAGCAUUACAUAUCUCAAGAAUGUCAUAUAGGACUUCCCUUUUUCCAGUAUCUAGGAAUCCAGUGGUUUAUGAAAAAAAUACAGUGAAAUUUUUUCUAGUGUCAUAUGGAAAAAGAAAUACAAAAGCUUUUGAAGACAAAAGCAACAAUGUUAUUAAUCUGAAGCUCAAAUAUUUAUUUUUCCUUAGUCACUUUUGUAACGAUACCACAGGAUAUGCUUUAGAGCCGAAAGAUAUUGUUUGACUUUCUUAGUUCCUUACACACAUUGUGAAGUUCUCUUUUGAAUGCACUUUUGUCUUUUUUUUAUUCUUUCUUCUUUCUCUAUUUUUAGGUUUCUUCUUUCUUCUCUGUUUCUAACAUUAACCACAGCUGUGUGCACACAAAGUUUUUCUUGCUUUGUUUUUUGUCAUGUAUUCUAUAUAUGCUAAUCUAUCCAUUUUUUCUCUUUUAAAUUUUCAAUCUAUUUAGUUUAGGUGUAUACUAAUUACUACACAAAUUUCUGCCUAUAAAUAAUAAGAGAUGGUGUCUUCUGAAUUAUUGCUAGACUUUUAGUAUCUACGUGAGAGAAAUAUAAGAGGAAUAUUAUUGAAUUGUGUAUCUACAUUAUAUAAAGAACCUUUUUGAUACAUAAGUUAUUCAGAAUGAGACAUCAACUUUAGUCAAUAUACAUGCAAUAUUUUUGAUGUUUCAGUCAGUGUUUCGUAAUCAUUGUUUAAUAGCAAUUAAAAUUCAAUUAAUUUUGUUUGCAGGAAAAGGAACUUGGGAGGCCAAUAACUCAGGCUCAUACUGUAACACCCCGUACUUAAUUACGUGCAUUAGUCAUUGUUAUAUGUGUUGGAGUAUAUGUAUUGAUCCUAAGUUAGGUAUAUAUGAGUUUAAGUAUGAGUAUUGAUUAUUUUGAGAUGGUUUCAAGUGUGUAGUUUGAUUAUAGGUGUAUAGGAAUCGACUUUAUUUAUACCGGAAUUUUCCCGUCGAUGGUUCCAUACGAAGGUUAUUGAAUAAGCUUUCCAACGAUAUAAAGAUUUCCAAAAACGGAUAAGUUUCGGAUAUAAGCGAGCUCGUUCGAAACUUUAAAACGGUGGCCGGGAUGUGAACAGUAAAAUGUGCAGGAAACUACUGAGGCCUGCCAGUUUUUUGGGUCAACUUUGAACGAUCAUAACUCCCUCAAUAUAAUGAACUGGUUGAGCUACAAAAGAAAGAUCUCUGAGUCUUCUUUCCAAUGCAAUUGGUUUCAUCCAAAUCCAACAUCUGAGUAAGGAGUUAUGCUCGUUUUACUUCAGCCUCUCAAAACAGAUUUUUAGGGUCAACUUCAAACGAUCAUAACUACUUGUACAGGACGAACUGGGUGGCUUAAUUUAUAUGAAAUGAAAUACCUUUGAAUUAUCUUUCUAACGAUACCAAUUUCACCCAAAUCCGAUAUCGGAGCAAAGAGUUAUGGCCGAUUUACUUUAGCCUAUCAAAACAGUCCACCAUGGACAGAUUCGGAUUUACUUAAAUUUUUAAGGGCAAUAUGGUCAUUUUCCAUCACCUCAUGGACGAAAAUUGGUCAUUAUAUACAUAUACUUAGCCUUAUAUCCACCAUUUAUCAUCCAAAUCAUUGAAGAAUAAGAAACCCUAGCCUAAGUUCAACUCCAAUUAUCUUGUGAUUCAACCGUAGAAAAUCCAAAUUGAUUCCGUAGUUGUGUUCACCGUCUCAAGGGCUUCGAGAAGCACCCCUUAUUUGUGCCAACAGGACUUCGAAAUCAAAAGGGCCAUUUUUUUGGUAAGGAUGUAAAUUAUGUUGGUGUUAUUUAUAUGGAUAUGUAUAUAUAUAUAUGCAUGUGAGCAUAAGAAGUAUGUUAUUUGAUUGUUGUUGAAAGAUGAUUGGAAAUGAUGUUGGAUUAUUCUUGUGCAUGGUUGGAUUAUGUUAAAUUGUGAAGGAAUUUGGGGUGAUGAUGUGGUAUUGAUGAUGUGGUAUUGAAAUGAUGAUUAUAUAUAUAUACACACAUAAACCUAUUGUUCAAGUUGGUUUUUGGAAUGUUUUGCAAAUAUUGGUAGUAUGGAAUUAUGGAAGAGAAUUGUGGUGUUGGGUUGCUAAUACUAGAUGCCAAACAUUUCAUUGUAGAUAAGUGAUUUGUAAAGGCGGGAAGUUGUGUUGAAUUGGUAUCUGAAUCUACAACGAGGUAUGUAAAGCAUACUCUAACAAUGUUCUUUGGCAUGAAAACACCAAUGUUCCAUCAAGUAAGAUUCCGAGG